rnacentral:rRNA from 1 species
CAGUCGCCGCGGGAAUACGUAGGUGGCAAGCGUUGUCCGGAAUUAUUGGGCGUAAAGGGCUCGCAGGCGGUUUCUUAAGUCUGAUGUGAAAGCCCCCGGCUCAACCGGGGAGGGUCAUUGGAAACUGGGAAACUUGAGUGCAGAAGAGGAGAGUGGUGUUCCACGUGUAGCGGUGAAAUGCGUAGAUAUAUGGAGGAACACCAGUGGCGAAGGCGACUCUCUGGUCUGUAACUGACGCUGAGGAGCGAAAGCGUGGGGAGCGAACAGGAUUAGAGACCCCCGUAGUCCCUGUCUCUUAUAA